rnacentral:rRNA from 1 species
UACGGAGGAUGCGAGCGUUAUCCGGAUUUAUUGGGUUUAAAGGGUGCGUAGGCGGGCUUUUAAGUCAGCGGUAAAAAUUCGGGGCUCAACCCCGUCCGGCCGUUGAAACUGGGGGCCUUGAGUGGGCGAGAAGAAGGCGGAAUGCGUGGUGUAGCGGUGAAAUGCAUAGAUAUCACGCAGAACUCCGAUUGCGAAGGCAGCGUACCGGCGCCACACUGACGCUGAGGCACGAAAGCGUGGGAAUCGAACAGG